rnacentral:rRNA from 1 species
AGAGUUUGAUCCUGGCUCAGGAUGAACGCUAGCGACAGGCCUAACACAUGCAAGUCGAGGGGCAGCGAAGAGGUAGCAAUACCUCUGUCGGCGACCGGCGCACGGGUGAGUAACACGUAUGCAAUCCACCUGUAACAGGGGGAUAACCCGGAGAAAUCCGGACUAAUACCCCAUAAUAUGGGCGCUCCGCAUGGAGAGCCCAUUAAAGAGAGCAAUUUUGGUUACAGACGAGCAUGCGCUCCAUUAGCCAGUUGGCGGGGUAACGGCCCACCAAAGCGACGAUGGAUAGGGGUUCUGAGAGGAAGGUCCCCCACAUUGGAACUGAGACACGGUCCAAACUCCUACGGGAGGCAGCAGUGAGGAAUAUUGGUCAAUGGUCGGCAGACUGAACCAGCCAAGUCGCGUGAGGGAAGACGGCCCUACGGGUUGUAAACCUCUUUUGUCGGAGAGUAAAGUACGCUACGUGUAGCGUAUUGCAAGUAUCCGAAGAAAAAGCAUCGGCUAACUCCGUGCCAGCAGCCGCGGUAAUACGGAGGAUGCAAGCGUUAUCCGGAUUUAUUGGGUUUAAAGGGUGCGUAGGCGGCACGCCAAGUCAGCGGUGAAAUUUCCGGGCUCAACCCGGACUGUGCCGUUGAAACUGGCGAGCUAGAGUACACAAGAGGCAGGCGGAAUGCGUGGUGUAGCGGUGAAAUGCAUAGAUAUCACGCAGAACCCCGAUUGCGAAGGCAGCCUGCUAGGGUGAAACAGACGCUGAGGCACGAAAGCGUGGGUAUCGAACAGGAUUAGAUACCCUGGUAGUCCACGCAGUAAACGAUGAAUACUAACUGUUUGCGAUACAAUGUAAGCGGUACAGCGAAAGCGUUAAGUAUUCCACCUGGGGAGUACGCCGGCAACGGUGAAACUCAAAGGAAUUGACGGGGGCCC